rnacentral:rRNA from 1 species
UACAGAGGUCCCAAGCGUUGUUCGGAUUCACUGGGCGUAAAGGGUGCGUAGGCGGUCGGGUAAGUCUGACGUGAAAUCUCCGGGCCUAACCCGGAAACUGCGUCGGAUACUAUCCGGCUAGAGGAUUGGAUGGGAGACUGGAAUACUUGGUGUAGCAGUGAAAUGCGUAGAUAUCAAGUGGAACACCAGUGGCGAAGGCGAGUCUCUGGACAAUUCCUGACGCUGAGGCACGAAAGCCAGGGGAGCAAACGGG